rnacentral:rRNA from 1 species
CCUACGGGAGGCAGCAGUGGGGAAUAUUGGGCAAUGGGCGCAAGCCUGACCCAGCAAUGCCGCGUGAAGGAAGAAGGCCUUCGGGUUGUAAACUUCUUUGACAGGGGAAGAGCAGAAGACGGUACCCUGAAAACAAGCUACGGCUAACUACGUGCCAGCAGCCGCGGUAAUACGUAGGUGGCAAGCGUUGUCCGGAUUUACUGGGUGUAAAGGGGGUGUAGCCGGGAAGGUAAGUCAGAUGUGAAAUCUGGAGGAUAAACCUUCAAAUUGCAGUUGAAACUGUUUUUCUUGAGUACUGGAGAGGCAGACGGAAUUCAUGGUGUAGCGGUGAAAUGCGUAGAUAUAAGGAAGAACACCAGUGGCGAAGGCGGUCUGCUGGACAGCAACUGACGGUGAGGCACGAAAGCGUGGGGAGCAAACAGGAUUAGAUACCCCAGUAGUC